rnacentral:rRNA from 1 species
AUUGAACGCUGGCGGCAUGCCUUACACAUGCAAGUCGAACGGUAGAAGGAGCAAUCCUUCGAGAGUGGCGAACGGGUGAGUAAUACAUCGGAACGUACCUGGUAGUGGGGGAUAGCCCGGCGAAAGCCGGAUUAAUACCGCAUAAGACCUGAGGGUGAAAGCGGGGGACCGUAAGGCCUCGCGCUACCGGAGCGGCCGAUGUCAGAUUAGCUAGUUGGUGGGGUAAAAGCCUACCAAGGCGACGAUCUGUAGCUGGUCUGAGAGGACGACCAGCCACACUGGGACUGAGACACGGCCCAGACUCCUACGGGAGGCAGCAGUGGGGAAUUUUGGACAAUGGGCGCAAGCCUGAUCCAGCCAUGCCGCGUGCGGGAAGAAGGCCUCGG